GACCCAUUAUGACUUUUCAUGUAACCUGCCAUUUUAUAGUCAUGGUAUCUUGAUAAAAACUGAUUCGCAUCUCCCUCGUGGUUGCUAAUUGUUGUUUUCCAGUGUACUAGAUUGGAAUAAAGAAAACUUUCUGAAGAAUGCAUUUUAUUAUUCUAAUUAUCAGUGUCGCCAUCAAUCAAAUCUCAAGUACUGAAGUUAUUUUCCACUAUGAGGCGAGUGACGUCACUGGGGAUCUGAUGCCCGACGAGGUCAAUGUGACUUUCAGCACAGAAACGAAAUCUCUAACCAAACUCAAUCUCAGGCGAUCGCGGCAUUUCGACCUUGACAUUCCCCUCUAUACUCUCGACACAGACCAGGAAGGAUUUUUUCAAAAACAAAAAGUGACAACCAAAGCCA
rnacentral:sRNA from 1 species